rnacentral:rRNA from 1 species
GGCCUAAUACAUGCAAGUCGAACGGUGUCUUCGGACAUAGUGGCGCACGGGUGCGUAACAGGUAUGCAACCUACCUUACAUUGGGGGAUAGCCUUUCGAAAGGGAGAUUAAUACCGCAUAAGACAGUAGCUGGGCAUCCAGUAGCUGUUAAAGAUUUAUCGAUGUAAGAUGGGCAUGCGUCCAAUUAGUUAGUUGGCGAGGUAAUGGCUCACCAAGACUUUGAUUGGUAGGGGAACUGAGAGGUCAAUCCCCCACACUGGCACUGAGAUACGGGCCAGACUCGUACGGGAGGCAGCAGUAGGGAAUAUUGGGCAAUGGACGCAAGUCUGACCCAGCCAUGCCGCGUGCAGGAUGAAGGCGUUAUGCGUUGUAAACUGC